ACAUCUGAGAAAACUUUUUGUUUGUCUGCCAUAACCAGAGCAGCAUGUCCCAGAUAGAAGCUGUUCCAUCAGCCUCAUUUCCAGAAUGAAGAGGAAUGAAUGGAAAGCAGAGAUGCAGUUAAAGCAUACUGGUUUUACCACACUUGGAAGUAAUCUCUCACCUUCUGAACAACCAUGACAUCCCUCCAAAAUGUCCAUCCCCCACUGGUGGUUACUCUGAAAUAUUACUCAGUCUACUGAGCAGUGAAAGCUGACUCAAGGUAGAAGAAAAGGCAAUGCAGAGAAAAGAAAUUGCAUGAACAAUGGCAUGGAUGUUUUGGAGAGAAAUGAGUGGAUUGGUGUAAUGAAGCAUGCACUAUGACACAAAAAUGGGUAAGAGUUGUCAGGAAAUGUGGCUCGAGUGGUAAGAGUGAACCAAGGUUCUAUAUAAACCCAUAAACUCACACUAAGCAAUGGGAACUCCACCCUUUAGCAAUGGGCCGUCAGUGAAGAGGCAGAAAAUUCACUGACAGCCAGUUGGAAGAUAGUGAGGGAUAGCUGUUGGAAGCAGGGAGAAUAAUUUAGACAGUAGUGAUGUUCCAGAAAAGAGGCUGAACACUGAAACAGAGGUGAGCAGGGAGAAAGUUUAAAGAUAUAGUCUCAUUCAAUUUAUAAGUUUCUAGUCCUGAUGAAAUACUCCGAGUCAAAGUGAAGAAAUGGAUGACGAGGAUGUGUCUUACAAAAGAGAAGAGAAACAUGUGACAGCUUUAGGUGAAUAAAAAAUUUUCAUCCUAUGAAAAAGAUGACAUUCAUUCUUGGGAAGAUGCAACUCUAAGGCCCUGAGCUCUUGAUUCAGAAUACAUGGAUUUAAAACUGUUUCUACUAUUUAAUAACUGAGCACCUUGGGAAAGUUACUCAAUAUUUCCAUGCUUUAAUCUGUACAGUGAGACGCACCAUGAAAACUUCUCAUAAUAAUGAGACUCUUGGAGUUCCCAUUGUGGCUCAGUGGUAUUGAACCCAACUAGUAUCCAUGAGGACAGGGUUCAAUCCCUGGCCUUACUCAGUGUGUUUAGGAUCUGGUGUUGCCAUGAGCUGUGGUGUAGGUCAUAGACGUGGUUCAGACCUGGCGUUGCUAGGCUGUGGCAUAGGCCAGUUGCUGCACUUCUGAUUAGGCCCCUAGCCUGGGAACUUCCAUAUGCUACAGGUGCAGCCCGAAAUAGCAAAAAAAAAAAGGGGGGGGGGGGAGAGGGACUGUCAUGAGGAUUAAAUGAGAUAAUGCAUGUAAAACUCAAGAGUACCUGGCACAUCUUAAAGCCUCAAGAAGAAUCACACCUUAGAAGUGGUAGUAGACAUUACCAACCUCCAAAGAUGCAUUGACAGCCAAUUCAUCCUAUUUACCCUAAAACAUUCAGAUUAUCUGUUUUGCUUUUUUUUAAUGGAUGUGGAAUCCCAAGAGGAUCAAUUAAACAUAGAAGCAGUCCAUUUUUAAAAGAAAGUCUUUUUGUUGCUGUUGUUAUAUUCAAAAAUUUAUUCAAUCAGUGAAAGAGAAAGAGAUCAAUGUCUUGAGAAAGUUGUGCAGUGGGCAUCAUCUUGCUUUCCUGAUCUCAACAUCCCCAGGAGGGUUUAAAGAUUCUUGACACCCAGGCAAACACAAAUCACAUCAGCAAAAAAGCAAUGCUAUUAUAGCCAGCAGCAUCGUCUCAAAUUAUAGAGAAAUAGGGAAUGAGACAAAGAUAAAGAAGGGAAGGUAAAAGGAUAGAGUCUAUAUUUUUUGUUUUUUUUUUUUUAAAAAAAACUCUAAUAAGCAAGAAGACCUUGUGAGAAACUAAAAAGAAAUUAACAUGAGAGCAGAAUCUUGAUGUACAGCUACAGCCUUAAAAAUAGGAUGCAAUUAAGUGCUUCUAACAAGGCUCCAGUAGUCUGAUGGUAAGUGUAGAAAGACCAGCUUAAUGAAAUGUCAUGGGGACACUGCUUAUAACAAUCAUAUGCCCUGGAUGCCAAAUGGAGCUGUACCUGCUGGCAAAACAGUUAUAGGGGAAAAGAACAAAAGCCUGCCAGCUGUUAAGAAAUAGAACAGAAUGAGGCUCAGGGCCCUAGGGGAAGGUGGAAAAUUAACACAGCCUCUGUGUCUUACUUAUGUUUUCCUUACCACUGUGCUUUUCUUUUCUGGAUUUAAAAUUGUGCAUUGCCCACUAGGUGGGGGCUCUUUUAGAAAAGUAGCAUUGGACCUAGCCUGGACAUUGCAAAUUUGGAGAUCAGGGUGGGAAUAAGAUUGUAUAGAACCAGGGAUGAGGUGUACCUUGCAAGGCUUUAUAGCUAUUCUUAUCAUUUGCUUCAUUAUUUCCCCCUGAAUUCACUUUUUAUUCCUCUGUGGCCAGUUAACUUACCUUAGGCUUCUGCUCAUUCAUGUCUCUCUCAAAGGAAAGCGUGUAUGAGACAUCAUCUCUAAAUAGUUCAUCUAAAAUUUUUCUCUCUCAAAUCUCCCAGGGAUUUUCUUGCAUUACCCCACUUCAUUUUCCUUACAGCAUGUAUCUGUUUAUAAGACACCAUUCAUUCAUUUUUUUGGAUUGUUUACUGAUCUGUUAUUUGUCUUGCCCUCUGUGAUGCAAGUUCCAUGUGAACACAAAGCAUGUAUCCCUGCUCUGUGUACCACUGGAACCUCAGCCAUCACUGCAAUAUCUAGCAUACAUUCAAUGCUUGAGAUAUAUGCAGACUGAAUUUUUUGACCUAUAAACAUAAAUUAUUUUUGAUGCUGCCUGGCACACCUACUUUAUGUCCUACUCUCAGAGAUUAUUUAUUACUUACCUUCUCCAUUUGCCUCAUUGUUUACUUUAAUUAAAGUUGCUUUUAUAUUUUUGUCUUUUAGUCUUUGCGCUGUUUAUAUAUAUAUUUUUUACCUCUUUGAGCAUUAUGAACAUACUGCUAAUUUUGUCACAUUCAUCAUUUCUGAGUCUAUGUCUUUAGACUGCUUUUUCUCUUGGUUAUUGCAUGCCUUUUUAUAUACUCGAUUUUGUGAAUUUAUUAAAAUAAAACUUUAUUGACAUGCAGUCACAUUCAUUUGUUUAUAUAUUUAUCUACUUUAUUUUUUUUUAUCUAUUUUUCCUUUUUAUGGCCACAUCUGUGGCAUAUGGAAGUUCUUGGGUCAGGGGUCGAAUCAGAACUGCAGCUGCUGGGCCUGCACCACAGCCACAGCAAUGCCAGAUCUGAGCCACAACUAUGACCUAUGCCACAGCUUGUGGCAACACUGGAUAUUUACCCCACUGAGCAAGGCCAGGGAUCAAACCCACAUCCUCACAAACACUAGGCUGUGUUCUUAACCCACUGAGCCACAAAGAGAACUUCUGUAUUUCAUGUUUGGAUUGCUCUUUUUUUUUUUUUUUUUCAGUUGAGUAAAGACUUGAAGAUAUAUUUUUCCUGAGGUUUUAUUUUAAUCUUUUUUAGGAAGAUCUCUAGUACCUUUAUUAAAGGACUGAUUUUUUUUUUCUUUUUUGAGGCCUGUAGAAGUUUCCAGGCCAGGGAUUGAACUUGCACCAAGCCUUUACCUGAACCACAGAAGGGACAUUGUCAGAUCAUUAAUCACCAGGCUACCAGGGAACUCCCUAAAGGACUAAUUUAAUCUCAUUUUACAUCUUUGCUUUCUGGGUCAUCUACUGAAUGCUUGCUUAUUCGAGAAGAUAUUUCCACUUUAUCUGGAGGAAAGAUAAAUAUUUCCCGGCUCUGUGUAAGCUCUGGACAUUGUUUUUCUUAUUGUUCUAUGGUUAUUAUUAUUUCCUUAGUAUUUUUUUUUCCCUUGCUCAGAACAGUAAUGCUUUACUCAUUAACAGAUUUGUAGACAAGCAGAACUUUGUCCAGACCUAUGGACCUCUCAUUCAGCUUCAUUCUCUCUUCUCUGGAAGUCUUUUCUGCAAAUUCUAGCUAGCAUGACUUUCCUAAACUCUGAUCUCUCGCUACUCAUCUCAUUGAGAUCACUGUCUAAUGUGUGAUUUACUACCACCUCUCUGCAGCCUGGCAGUUGCCUCUAGGCAGUAACCCAGGGCCAUCAAGAGAUCACCUCCUUUUGUUCCUUUGUUUUUUUCCUGAAAUUAUCAGGGCUGCACUGAUAUUUUCUAAUGUCUGAAAGACAUUAGUUUGUAUAUUUAGUCUGAGUCUCCAUUUGUUGGAGAGAAAUCUCUUUAAUAGUUCAUGAAUGGAAAUAGAAGCCCACUCCUUUUUUGAAACACUUUUCUCCCAACCUGGUGUUAGUGACACUAUACCCUUUUAUUUUACCUAUUACCACAUAAGCUGGAUAAUGAAGCUUGCCCUCUAAGCUCUUCAGUAUAUUAUUCCUUGUAUAUUAUUCCUUACAGUGACAUAAAAUAACACAGUUAUUGGAGGAAGAAUUUAUCAAGUUGUUGUCUUUUGCAUGUUGAACAUGCAAAAAGUAUUCAAAUAAUAAAAUAAUUUCAAAAAUUUAAAAAGUAUAUUCCUCAUAUUUUCAUAAUUGGAUAGCCCCCCACCAAAUGGUGAAAUCUGUGAAUUUUUUCUUUGCAACCUCCUGGAUCAUCAUGCCACCUCCUAUCUGCUAACGCCCCUCACCACUCCUGCUGAAGAUUCAGCCACCUUGGCCUGUUCUUAUCUCAGAAACCAGCUUUCACAUUUUUUUUUUCUUAAACUGAUCUUAUUUCCAAUGAGCCUAGAUAGUUCCUAGUGCAUUUCUACAUACAUAUAAGCUGUAACUUUUACUGAUAAUAUUACAUUUGAAUAAGGACAUUUCCAUUUGGAUUCUUCAUUAGACACAAGAUCAUAUCCUGGUCCUACCAUACCACAUAUAUCUGCUGAUUUUUUCCUAUAUGACAUGGGACAAGUCAAGUAACUUUACCUAGCCUUAGUUUAUACAUUCACAAGCACAAGCUUAAAAGCCCCUUCAUAUUUUUGAUUAAAAGUUUAUGAAUAUAGAAUGAUCAACAGAUAUCUGGAAAAGUGUAGAUGUUCAUUACCUCUGGGUUUCUUUGUUCUUUGCAAGUAUUCUGAAAACUUCACCAACCUUUGAAUUUAAUCUAGUCUCACAUUACUUGCGUUCAUGAACCAUCUUUCCCAUAGUUAGUUACAGGAAGGAUUUUAAUCUGUAUCUUACUUCUUCCUUUGUUUCAGCCUUAGCUCUUUAUUUAACUGCCAGGUUUCCUCCUUAUUUGAAAUAUUAGGUAGAAAGAACACAUAUUAAAUAUAAAGAAUAAGGCACUUGAUUUUUCUUUAAAGGCUUAGGGAAACCAAAAUACUUUUGAUUGUCAGCUUAGAAAACCCAUAGUGACAGAGGCUUCAACUGGGUUAAGAACUUUGAGAUCAUAGUUGCAUGACCCAAAUUUCCCAAUACCUAGAAGGUGUAAGUACCUGUGUCUUCAGGACACGUGCUCAUUUUGAACCAGCUAAAUUGGCUCAUAAUGAAGGUCUCUGCCCUUGUUCCAAGUGUAUUUUUUUCUUAGUUUAUCUUUCAAUUGAACUUGACCAGAGCUGCAUAAGCUCAUAUAUUUGACCACCCUCUGAUACUAUAUUCACUGCUGACAAAUAUGUUAGGAAAUUCCAUACAGCAGGUAAAAAAUGUCAGAUUCAGUAAACGGUCAUUUUACCCAUAAACUGUAUCAUCUUUUAAUCUUAUCCUCAAAUCAAAUUAUUUAAGCAUAGCUCCCUAAGGACAGGCAACUAAUGUUGAGUAUAUUUUACUCAAAGCCUAUGUCAACCAACCAAAACAUGAUAAUCAUAAUAAAAUGGCUUAAGAAACUUUCCUCUUAAGCAUGCAGUAUGUAAAUUCUUAUCUAUUGAACUAGAAAGUAGGACACUCCACUUUCUGGGUUAAGAUGAAAA
rnacentral:lncRNA from 1 species